rnacentral:rRNA from 1 species
AGCAGCCGCGGUAAUUCCAGCUCCAAUAGCGUAUAUUAAAGUUGUUGCAGUUAAAAAGCUCGUAGUUGAAUUUCGGGAUUUAUCCGUCGGUCGGGCUUUUGGGUCUGUACUGGCGUGAUGAAUUCCUACCUUCUGAAUAACCAGCAUGCCAUUAAUUUGGUGCGCCGGGGAAGCAGGACUGUUACCUUGAAAAAUUAGAGUGCUUAAAGCAGGCUAUUGCCUGAAUACAUUAGCAUGGAAUAAUGAAAUAGGACGGCAUGGUUCUAUUUUGUGGUUUCUAGGAUCACCGUAAUGAUUAAUAGGGAUAGUUGGGGGCAUUAGUAUUCAAUUGUCAGAGGUGAAAUUCUUGGAUUUAUUGAAGACUAACUUCUGCGAAAGCAUUUGCCAAGGAUGUUUUCAUUAAUCAAGAACGAAAGUUAGGGGAUCGAAGACGAUCAGAUACCGUCGUAGUCUUAACCAUAAACUAUGCCGACUAGGGAUCGGACGAUGUUAAUUUUUAAUGACUCGUU